AUCAGCCCAGUGCUACAACAAGAGCUGACAGCAACUCUUUCAGCUCUUGGGCAGUAUUCCUGCCACUCGGUGGCUUUCCAUCUGCAAGGAGAGAUACAAAAGAAUGAGGAGCCAUGCAGGUGAAGGGGCAUUGUGAAGGCCUGAAGACAGCCUCUGCAUAUCCAGUGAGCAUCGGUCCUGUGCCUCUAAAUGCUGGGCUGCAGCACAGUGCUGCAGGUGGGAACGUGGCUCCAAGUUACCGUGAUUUACAGCUGCCCUGCUCACAGGCAUCUGCAAGAGAUGAGAGAUAAUACCCCAGCACAGGCAUCCGUGCCUUUGACCUAGGGGAGGGAGAUGCAGCAUCUCAUGGUGAUUGAGAAAGCUUGGCUGGUUUUGCACGUAGGAAGCUUCUUCAAAUGUGUUUCCUCCCACCCCCCGGCCUUUUGUUUUCCAGCCAUGCUUGACGCUAGUGAUGGCCAGCUGAACUCCCCAAAAGUAAACUUCCUCUCCUGCUAUAAACUGAUCCUUUUCUGUUGCUAGGGUGGCUGCAGAGCAGCAAGAGGACUGUGUAAAUGCUUCCCAUGGGCACGGAGAUGGGGGUCAUACAGGCCAGCUCAGCAGUUCCUCCUCUUCCUCUCUGCUCCCCCACAGGGAGGUGAAGGCAGUGGCUGUCAGCAGGCACUGACACGCCUGGCUCUGAUGCUACAGGAAUCAGUGGCAGAUGCUCACCUGGGAAGCUUGAGCAAGAGAUGGGGAGGGAUGGUGCAACUGGGUCCUCUGCAACAUCUCACAGACUGCUGAGCUUCUGGCUGUGCAGGGGCACCGUAUUCUGGUGCACAAACAUGUAGGGCUCCUUCCCUGUCAUUAAUCCAGUUUACCAAGUAUGAAAUCCACAGGAUUCUGGUCCUCUGUCGCUCACUUUGAUGUCAGGUCUUCCUCUCUCUUUUUUUUUUUUUUUAAGCUGCAUUUCAGUGUCUAUAGCUGACUCUCUGAGUCACUUCCCAAAUGCUGAUGCUUUGUGUGACUGCAUCCUUCCCCAUAAAACCAGGUCAAGUAUUUCAGCAGUGGCAGCCUGGGCAACACACUGAAACACAUGGGGAGGUGCAGCCUGCGCAGAGCAGAGCUGGUUGUGCAUCCACCACAGCCAGUGCAGAUAUUCUGCAAUGGCAGAUAGCAGUUAGUCAGGGAUUUGUCUAACUCAACUUGAGGAGGUGAGAAAUACCUUCAAAAAGCUGGGGCUCAGCCAGCUCUGUCCCUGAUGUGGGCACCAGGAGAUGUUCAUCCAUGAGGGUCUGAGUGUUCUUGUGCCACUCAUCACUCUGGCCUCUGCUGCAGCCAAGUGAAAGAGGUAAUCAGGCAGGGCUGGAGUGAUGCCUUCCAGAAAUAAGGUUGCCUUCUCCCCACAACAGCAAUCAGACGUCUUAAAGGUUUGUAAAAUGAUGCCUCUGUUUCUUGCUGUCGAGAAGGCCAGUGCCAAACAGCCGCAUUGCAAAGCACCCACCUACAUGAGCUGCCACUGCAUGUUUUUGUUUUACAGUAAGUCUUCCUGGCGUGAGAAAGGACAGGAUUAUGUCAUCCCAUCACUAUGUACCUGGGUGUCACUGGCCCAGCUGAUCGAUUGGUACCUUUGAUCUGACAUCUUGAUAUACAGUUGCAGGCCAUCCGGAGAGUCCCUGAAUUUCCAUCCUUCCCACCUCAUCUGGGAGAGAACAAAACCUCCGUUAGCAACAAUGCUGGCAGGGCUGGGAGAGAAGGAGGUUUCUGGGUGAGAGCUUGUCUGUAAUCCUAAGCACGUCCCUGUAAUCAGAGCCUCUGACUCAGAAUUGGGGGGAUGCAUAGGGUCGGUGUGGCCCCCUCAUCCACCGCAGUGAGUCACGAUGCCACAAAGAGAGGAGCCUGGAAACCUCACCCUGAGCCCUAUGCGCAAUGGCAGUAGGACAUAUUGCACAAAGUACACUAAAUCAAAGGCAACUCUGUUAUGCAAUGCGUUACAAUACCCAGUCCCUAUAGCGCCUCAGCAAACAGAUGGCAGGAGAUGAGCCUGAUUACACAGGGUUUUCUGAAUCACUUGCAACAACAGAGGAAUCGAGCAAUACCCAGCUCAGAGUGCCUUCUAGAUCUCUGUGGGUUUGCAUUUCUCUGUUCUUGCCGUGCUUGCCUUGAUAGGGCAUUUAAAAUUAAAGUGGCUGAAUUGUGAGUGGCAGAAGAGAUGGCUGCGCACAGGGCUGGCACGAGGAGGCAGGAGGACGAGCAGAGCAGCUCUGCUUUGGCAGCUCUGGGAGUUCCAGGAACUUAUCAGUUUUCUUCACACGAAAUCUUUAGGCAGAGUGGCCCCAGCUAGGGCUGGGACAGCCUCAGAUGACGUGACACCUGAAUUUAGCCCACGGAGCCAGUGAACCUGGAUGCUUGACAGCUUACUCAAACCACUGCACACCUCGAGAGACUGCAGCUCUUCUGUGCAACUAUUGGUCUCUCCUAUUAUAGCCUGGCAGGAUGUCAAGGUGCACAGACACGACCCAGAGCCUAACACCCGGUGGCUGCUUCGCCUCCCGUCCCACCCCUUUCACACAGGCAGGAGUGGCAAACCCAUUUCUGGCAUACCAGGAAAUCCUGGUUCUUGCUGUUAUCACGCAGGCGUUAGACAGCACCGAGCUGCAACCAGUCGGACCUGCGGAAAGGAGGGAUGAAGGGAGGGGGAAGAGCUCCCUUGGAAAGAGCGCGGCAGCACCAGGCAGUGGGUUGGACAUGCUGGAGUGAAACUUGGCAUCAGGGAACGGAGGGAAUGCAUUUGCCCGGUAGACGUGGCACUUGAGCGAGAGAUCAAACGAAAUGGCCGUGGAAAUCUUGAGCAAUCAACUAGUUAGCACAGGGGAUUUUUCUGCUGUUCUGAAUAAGGUUCCACUGUGCUGGCUGUCAGUCACCCUCUAAUAAAUAUUAUUUUUACAGCUCUGUAACUCUUUCCUCCGGUCAGCACGCAAGCAGCCAGUUGCACACGGAGUCCUACUCGGGGCAGGGCCUCUGGCUUCCCAACAUGAAGUUUGGGAUGGCAGAAAUUUAUUUAUUCUUCCAGGAGUAUUUAUUCACUCCAGCAUGUCAGAAAGAAUGCAGUGUGGCACAGCAGUCAUCUAGAAUGGUGGGAAGUAUUUGUUCCAGGUAUAAAAUCUUCUUGCAACGUGCCUUAAUGUGCAGCAUAUAGCCUGUCCUGGGGGCAGGUGAAAAGGUCCAGGGAGUCUUCCCAUUAUCUUGCUCAUUAAGAACUGAUUCU